UGGGGAAUUUUGGGCAAUGGGCGAAAGCCUGACCCAGCAACGCCGCGUGAAGGACGAAAUCCCUCUGGGAUGUAAACUUCGAAAGUCGGGAAAGAAAUCGCGGGGGCCAAUACCCCCCGCGGAUGACGGUACCCGACGUAAGCCCCGGCUAACUACGUGCCAGCAGCCGCGGUAAUACGUAGGGGGCAAGCGUUGUUCGGAAUUACUGGGCGUAAAGGGCGCGUAGGCGGCACAGCAAGUCGGGAGUGAAAGCCCGGGGCUCAACCCCGGAACGGCUUUCGAAACUGCUGAGCUAGAGUGCGGAAGGGGCAGCCGGAAUUCCCAGUGUAGCGGUGAAAUGCGUAGAUAUUGGGAAGAACACCUGAGGCGAAGGCGGGUUGCUGGGCCGACACUGACGCUGAGGCGCGAAAGCCAGGGGAGCAAACGGG
rnacentral:rRNA from 1 species